rnacentral:rRNA from 1 species
UACAGAGGUCUCAAGCGUUGUUCGGAAUCACUGGGCGUAAAGGGUGCGUAGGUGGCGCAGUAAGUCAGAUGUGAAAGCCCGGGGCUCAACCUCGGAAUUGCAUCCGAUACUGCUGUGCUAGAGUACUGAAGAGGUGACUAGAAUUCUCGGUGUAGCAGUGAAAUGCGUAGAUAUCGAGAGGAAUACCAACGGCGAAGGCAGGUCACUGGGCAGUUACUGACACUGAGGCACGAAGGCCAGGGGAGCAAACGGG